rnacentral:misc_RNA from 1 species
AAUAAAAAAAAAGUAAAAAAAAAAGUUUAAUGAUUUUGAUAUUAUAAUAGAGAUAGAAAUGAAUGAUGAAAAGAACAAAUCUGCAGACUGCAGGCGUAACUUCUUUAUCUCUGCACAAGCAUUCAAAGAUACUAUCAUAGAUAAAAAGAAUAGAUUCCUUCAAUGUUAAGUUCACAAACCGAAUCAUAACACAAGCCUAUUUCAAACAACUCAUCAUUCCAACUUCUUUGUCAUAUUCUCAAACUGUUACUACCUAACGUUAG